rnacentral:rRNA from 1 species
GACGAACGCUGGCGGCGUGCCUAAUACAUGCAAGUAGGACGCAGUUGCGAACGGGAUAGUAACGCGUAGGUAACUGCCUGUUAGAGGGGGAUAACUAUUGGAAACGAUAGCUAAUACCGCAUACUAGUAGAUGGACCUGCGUGGUAUUGGCUAGUAGGUAGGGUACUGGCCUACCUAGGCGACGAUACAUAGCUGACCUGAGAGGUUGAUCGGCCACACUGGGACUGAGACACGGCCCAGACUCCUACGGGAGGCAGCAGUAGGGAAUCUUCGGCAAUGGGGGAAAUCUGGCCGAGGAACGGCGGCGGGGUGGAGAAAGGUUUCGGGGCGUAAAGGUCCGUUGAUAAGGGAGCGGUACUUAACGAGAAAGGAACGGCUAACUACGUGCCAGCAGCCGCGGUAAUAC